rnacentral:rRNA from 1 species
UACGUAGGGUGCAAGCGUUGUCCGGAAUUAUUGGGCGUAAAGAGCUCGUAGGCGGUCUGUCACGUCGGCUGUGAAAACCCGAGGCUCAACCUCGGGCCUGCAGUCGAUACGGGCAGACUAGAGUUCGGUAGGGGAGACUGGAAUUCCUGGUGUAGCGGUGAAAUGCGCAGAUAUCGUAAGGAAGACCAGUGGCGAAGGCGGGUCUCUGGACAGUUCCUGACACUGAGACACGAAGGCCAGGGGGAGGCAAACGGG